GAUUUUUUAAUGGCCGCGGUAUUUUGACCGUGCAAAGGUAGCAUAAUCAUUAGUUCAUUAAUUGUGGGAUGGUAUGAAUGGCUGGACGAAAUAUUGGCUGUCUCUUAUUAAUUUUUAGAAUUUAAUUUUUGAGUGAAAAAGCUUAAAUUUUUUUAUAGGACGAGAAGACCCUAUAGAUCUUUAUUUUUAUUUUUAUUAAUUUAUUUAGUUUAUUUUAUAUUGAUUUAUUUAUUUAUUUUGUUGGGGUGACAUUAAGAUAUUUUUAACUCUUAAUUUUUUUUUUCAUUAAUUUAUGUUUAUAUGAUCUUUUAUUAUUGUUCAUAAGAAACAGAUACCUUAGGGAUAACAGCGUAAUUUCUAUUAAGAGUUCAUAUUGACAUAGAAGAUUGCGACCUCGAUGUUGAAUUAAGAUUAUUAUUAGGUGAAGAUGCUUAAUUAUUUGGUCUGUUCGACCAUUAAAUUCUUACAUGAUCUGAGUCAAAA
rnacentral:rRNA from 1 species